rnacentral:rRNA from 1 species
GACGAACGCUGGCGGCGUGCCUAAUACAUGCAAGUUGAGCGCUGAAGGUUGGUACUUGUACCAACUGGAUGAGCAGCGAACGGGUGAGUAACGCGUGGGGAAUCUGCCUUUGAGCGGGGGACAACAUUUGGAAACGAAUGCUAAUACCGCAUAAAAACUUUAAACACAAGUUUUAAGUUUGAAAGAUGCAAUUGCAUCACUCAAAGAUGAUCCCGCGUUGUAUUAGCUAGUUGGUGAGGUAAAGGCUCACCAAGGCGAUGAUACAUAGCCGACCUGAGAGGGUGAUCGGCCACAUUGGGACUGAGACACGGCCCAAACUCCUACGGGAGGCAGCAGUAGGGAAUCUUCGGCAAUGGACGAAAGUCUGACCGAGCAACGCCGCAUGAGUGAAGAAGGUUUUCGGAUCGUAAAACUCUGUUGGUAGAGAAGAACGUUGGUGAGAGUGGAAAGCUCAUCAAGUGACGGUAACUACCCAGAAAGGGACGGCUAACUACGUG